rnacentral:rRNA from 1 species
AUACGGAGGGUCCAAGCGUUAUCCGGAUUCAUUGGGUUUAAAGGGUCCGCAGGCGGGAAAAUAAGUCAGUGGUGAAAGCCUACAGCUCAACUGUAGAACUGCCAUUGAUACUGUUUUUCUUGAGUAUAGAUGAAGUGGGCGGAAUAUAUCAUGUAGCGGUGAAAUGCAUAGAUAUGAUAUAGAACACCGAUUGCGAAGGCAGCUCACUAAACUAUUACUGACGCUCAGGGACGAAAGCGUGGGGGGCGAACAGGAUUAGAUACCCUAGUAGUCC